rnacentral:rRNA from 1 species
CAGCCGCCACGGUAAUACGUAGGGUGCGAGCGUUAAUCGGAAUUACUGGGCGUAAAGCGUGCGCAGGCGGUUCGUUAAGACAGAUGUGAAAUCCCCGGGCUUAACCUGGGAACUGCAUUUGUGACUGGCGAGCUAGAGUAUGGCAGAGGGGGGUGGAAUUCCACGUGUAGCAGUGAAAUGCGUAGAGAUGUGGAGGAAUACCGAUGGCGAAGGCAGCCCCCUGGGCCAAUACUGACGCUCAUGCACGAAAGCGUGGGGAGCAAACAGGAUUAGAUACCCGGGUAGUCCCUGUCUCUUAUAC